rnacentral:rRNA from 1 species
CUUUGCAUACACGGAAGUGUGACAGGGACUAUCCCGAGUGCCGCCCGCUGAGGGUGGCUUUUGCCCAGUAUAGCAAGCUGGGAGAAUAAGGAGAGGGCAAGUCUGGUGUCAGCCGCCGCGGUAAUACCAGCUCUCCGAGUGGUGUGGAUGUUUAUUGGGUCUAAAGCAUCCGUAACUUGCUGAGUUAAUCCCCUGUUAAAUCCCAUGAAUUAAUUGUUGGUGUGCGGGGGAUACUGCUUGGCUAGGGGACGAGAGAGGCAGACGGUAUUUUCGGGGUAGGGGUGAAAUCCUAUAAUCCCGGGAAGACCACCAGUGGCGAAGGCUGUCUGCUAAAACGAGCCCGACGGUGAGGGAUGAAAGCUGGGGGAGCGAACCGGAUUAAAUACCCGGGUAAUCCCAGCUGUAAACUAUGCAAGCUAAGUGUUUGGGCGGCCACCUGCCGCUCUAGUGCCCCAAGGAAACUGUUAAACCUGCCACCUGGGGAGUACCGUCCCAAGAUUGAAACUUAAAGGAAUUGGGGGGGGAACACA